GUGUCAGCAGCCGCGGUAAGACGAACCGAGCGAACGUUGUUCGGAAUCACUGGGCUUAAAGGGCGCGUAGGCGGGUGCUCAAGUCCGGGGUGAAAUCCUCCAGCUCAACUGGAGAACUGCCUCGGAUACUGGGUGUCUCGAGGGUGGUAGGGGUAUGCGGAACUAUCGGUGGAGCGGUGAAAUGCGUUGAUAUCGAUAGGAACUCCGGUGGCGAAGGCGGCAUACUGGACCACCUCUGACGCUGAGGCGCGAAAGCCAGGGGAGCAAACGGGAUUAGAUACCCUAGUAGUCC
rnacentral:rRNA from 1 species